rnacentral:rRNA from 1 species
UACAGAGGGUGCGAGCGUUGUUCGGAAUUACUGGGCGUAAAGCGCGCGCAGGCGGCCUUUUAAGUCUCGUGGUAAAAUGCCGGGGCUCAACCCCGUGCCCGCCGGAGAUACUGGGAGGCUGGAGACAUGUAGAGGCAAGCGGAAUUCCGGGUGUAGCGGUGGAAUGCGUAGAGAUCCGGAAGAACACCGGAGGCGAAGGCGGCUUGCUGGGCAUUGUCUGACGCUGAGGCGCGAAAGCGUGGGGAGCGAACAGG